rnacentral:rRNA from 1 species
AGAUUGAACGCUGGCGGCAUGCCUUACACAUGCAAGUCGAACGGCAGCACGGGAGCAAUCCUGGUGGCGAGUGGCGAACGGGUGAGUAAUACAUCGGAACGUGCCCAAUCGUGGGGGAUAACGCAGCGAAAGCUGUGCUAAUACCGCAUAAGAUCUACGGAUGAAAGCAGGGGAUCGUAAGACCUUGCGCGAAUGGAGCGGCCGAUGGCAGAUUAGGCAGUUGGUGAGGUAAUGGCUCACCAAGGCGACGAUCCGUAACUGGUCUGAGAGGAUGAUCAGUCACACUGGAACUGAGACACGGUCCAGACUCCUACGGGAGCAGCAGGUGGGGAAUAUU